ensembl:lncRNA
GCUCAUUUCUAUUUUAAAUCAGUCCCAACUUUACGCUGGGCACACAGAUGGAGGGGGGGCUUCUGCCUCGCUGUCUUGAGGAAGAGACUCUGAAACAUACAAAGAGUGAUUUGAGCAAAGCCCAGUGGCAGCAGUGAGUACUAUCAGCAGCUAGUAUUUUACCUAAGGCUAGGACGUGAAGAGGAAACGCCUGAUGAGAAUUUUAUACCAGUCGAGGGUUAAGAGAAGAGGCCUGGCAAGCCCAGCUGCAGCCAUUGACCAAAUAGCAAAGCCACACCCCUCCCGCCACCUCCCGGCAUGCGCGGACCGGUGGACCUGCCUGCAGCGUGCCUCGCUGGCUUCCUGGAUGAAGAACGGAACCCCAAGGCUGCACGGCUUGACCAAGGCCCUCAACCGUAAAACAGGGAUAGACACCCCACCCGGGCCUGCUCCCCGGUCACAGCAGGUGCCUGAGACUCUGACCACAUUCAGGAAAACCUGAUGAAAGUUGGUAAAACCUCAGCGUUGUCACCGAUGGUCAGAUUCUCCGAAGUGCCCUGGGAAUCGGCUUGGCCCGGAGACCGCCUGACCCCGGAUUCUGGGCCGAUGGGGGCCACCGCUCUUUCUGUUCAAACUUCUCUGCCGUCACUCACUCGGGACAGCCUCAUGGGCCAAGCCCGACGCGAGGCUGUAACCGGCAGCUCCAUCCUUCCACCUUCCUGCCUGUUCUCAUCGCGCAUUCAAGGCCGCCUGCUCCAGGCGGGCCUCACGCAAGGACCUUGCUGUUGCACUCGGCCAGAAGGAGGACGCCACCGUUCCUGUGCGUAACUGAUGCUGCAGAGGGUGGACUCUGGGACUCAUACAAGGCUCCUUUCUCCACCUUUGGUCUGAAGCCCACGUGCCUGUGUAGGGCUCUGGCCUCUAUCUGGUUCUUACCUCUGACUUCCUCUUAUUUUUCCCUUCAAGUUUUCCCCUUGCCUGAAUUCCAUCACUUCCUAAUUACAUCCUGCUUUAUGGCAGUGUCUCUAUAAGCUGUGUGUGACCUUUCGGGUUAUGGGAUCAGAUAUUUUCAAAAGCUCAUGUGUAAAUUCUCCAUGGGCAAGCAGAUCUCAAUUGUAAACGUGAAUUAAAUAAAAACGAAUUUAAGCCAGGGCCUCUGGAGGGCAGCCUGCUCCUCCUCAGCUCAGCUGUGCGUCUCACUGCGUCGCGGUGCCUUCCGCUUGUGGCGGAACCUGCCUAGCGUUGGCGCGGAUGCUCCGCAUGAAUAGGACGCAAUGCUGAUUUCGUAGAUGAAGACACUGAAGUUCAGAGAAAUGAAGCUCCUUCUCUGAGUUGCCCAAAAAGGAGGGGAGGGGUCGGGCUGUGAACUCCUUGGGUAAGUCAGGUCUUGCCCCCAUCUGAACCAGAGACUGCCGACGUCCAGCCAAGUUCUGACUUUUCCAUGUGGGACACCUGGGCCAGCCGAGGACAGGCAGCUCCCUCAAGACCCCCUGAGGGUCCCCAGCUCAGGUUCCCCACUCAGAAAUAAGCUGACUUUCUCCAAAUCAACGCUGAGUCCACUCAACCAUCUUUCUCCAGAUGCAAACUAAAACCAAUGCUCACCACAGAAAAUUUGAAAAAGACUAAACGUUUAGAGAAAUGAAAUGAACACUGCCCGUGUGAUGACAGCCCAGGGACAAUUGCCAGCAGCCCCCUGGGGUGGCUCUCCUGAGCGCCUCGUGCUGGCAGCCCUCUGGGGUGGCUCUCCUGAGCGCCUCUCCUGGUGGGUGUUUGCUGUGAGUCAUUGGCGCUGUGCUUUGCUGCCACAGAACCCAUGAAAAGGCACUUCCCCGGCACUCACCUUCUUCCCAUGCACACCUGCUCACGGCUGCGUCUCACGGCAUCCUAGAGGCUCCCUUGCGGGGAGUGACUGGGACUCGCCACUUGGGGAUGGUGCAGAGGUGAGGCCGGCUGGGACCCAGGAAGACCCCAGCCUGGCGGAGGUGAGCAUUUCACAGACAUCAGCUUCAUUCUUCGGUAUAGCGGCUAGGAUUGUCGUCUCUUCUUGUGGAAUAAGUUACUGGGCUUUUAAAAAAAUAAUUAUUUAGGCUGGGCAUGGUGGCUCUACCUAUAAUUAUGGCAAUUUGGGAAGCCAAGGUGGGAGGGUCACUUGAGACCGGGAGUUCAAGACCAGCCUGGGCAACCUAGGGAGACCCCAUCUCUACAAAAAUGUUAAAAAGUCAGGUGUGGCGGCGUGCACCUAUGGUCCCAGCAACUCGGGAGGCUGAGGGGGGAGAACUGCUUGAGCCUGGGAGGUGGAGGUUGCAGUGAGCGGAGAUCGUGCCACUGCAGUCUGGGUGACAUAAUAAUAAUAAUAACAAGAUAAAUUUUAAAUUGUUAUUUGCUAAACAAUGCCCCGGCCUUCCUGUAUGGCGGCUGUCGUCAUCCAGCCUUUGAACACUUCCCUCAGCGUCUGAUGUCUCAGGAGGCCACAGCCCCGGGCAGGCCCGCCGUUCCCAUGUUUUCCCUGCCUCGUUGGCGCCGCCAGGGUCCCUCUGUGUGAGGGAGAUGUUCCGUAAACACAGGGCCAGCAGCCGCAUCCACAGACUCGCAGGGAGAGGCUCGGCACAACGUGGCCCCACAGCAAACUCUCUGAGCAGUUUUAGGGUUCUGGGUCCUGGAGGGGGCUCACCCAGGCACAUUCUCACCAGCAGUGGGUGGGCCGUGGCCCGCCAGCCAGGACCAGCCCUUCCUGAAACCCGGCAAACCUUGUCCUCUCACAAGCCCCCCCCCCGCCUCCCAGCCACGGCCCAUUUCCACGUAUAAAUCAAUUUGUCUCCACUGAGGGGAGAGAAUUGCAAAGCAAACAAAUUAUGCCCGCCCCAUUGAGCCCCAGGCACUCUGGCCCGGGCUUAGAGCGUCGGAAGGGAUUUUUUUUUCCUCCACUUCUCUCAUAAAAUGACCACCCCCCGGCGGGAAGAGACAGAAUGCCGUGUAGCUCCUGGAGAACCACUCCCAAGUUCAUCUCUCCUCAAACGGCCACCUCGGCAAAAACGCAGAGACCCAGCCGUCGCCUGGUAGGGCCUGUGCGUGUCUCUCACGGCUGCUGGAGGAAGCCCCACCAAUGGGGUGCCCUCAAUGGCAGACAUUUAUUUUCACACAGUCCUGCCUGGAGGCCAGAGUCCAAAAUCAAAGUGCUGGCAGGACCACACUCUGGGUCCUCCCCGGCAUCUCACAGGUCCUGGCAUUGCUGGUCAGCCUUAAUGUCCCUCAGCUUGUGGCCUUCCC